rnacentral:rRNA from 1 species
GGAACUGAGGUAAUACUCGAUAGGAGAUGUACCCUGGAAUGAUAUAUGGCAGAAUUAAGGAUGGGACUGCGGCGGAUUAGGUUGUUGGCGGGGUAAUAGCCCACCAAGCCGAAGAUCCGUAAGGGCUCUUAGCGGAGAGGCCCUGAGAGGGAAUCUGAGACACUAUUCCCAGCCCCACGGGGUGCAGCAGUUAAGAAUAAUCUACAAUGCGCGCAAGCGUGAUAGUUUGAGCCAGAGUGCUUAUCUAUUGAUAAGCUUUUGCCAAGUGUAAAAAGCUUGGCGAAUAAGGACUGGGUAGGACGAGUGCCAGCCGCCGCGGUAAUACUCGCGGUCCAAGUCGCAGCCACUUUUAUUGGGUCUAAAACAUCCGUAGCUUGCUUGGUAAGUCCCUUGUGAAAUUCUGUAUCUUAAAUGCAGAGCGGGCAAGGGGUACUGUCAAGCUAGAGACUGGAAGACGUAAGAAGUAUGCCUGAAGUAGCGGUCAAAUGUGUUGAUCUCAGGCAGACUCACAACAGCGAAGGCAUCUUACGAGGACAGUUCUGACAGUAAGGGAUGAAGGCUAGGGGCGCAAAGGGGAUUAGAUACCCCCGUAGUCCUAGCAGUAAACACUGCACACUAAACAUUAGUACCUCCUCGAGAGGUAUUGGUGCUGUAGGGAAGCCGAAGAGUGUGCUACCUGGGAAGUAUAGUCGCAAGGCCGAAACUUAAAGGAAUUGGCGGGGGAGCACAAU